UAGCUGGAGCUCGGACGCG
rnacentral:siRNA from 1 species